UUCUUUUUCCGUUAGCCUAUCUUCAUGAUCGGAAACCUAUUACGUUGUGUUAUACUAUUCGAAUUUAUAAACAUCUGAGGCAUGGACGUUUGUACAGAGUAACAUUUGACGGUAGAAGACCUAUCGGCAUGAUUCACACGUGUACAGCGGACGUGCAUGUGUUUGUUGUAUUCCGUCCGAAAGUGUUGAGGUAUAGAUGCUCACCACCACUUUAUUAAAUUGAUUGAAUAUGCUCGAUAAUAACCGACCUUUGGAUCAUUUUAUUUUGAAUUCUCAUAAAUAUAUCUUUACUUUUUAUAAGUAAAUUCAUUUUCAGUUAAUAAAAUCAAAUAUUCUACCAUUCCGUAUAUUUUCUUUUAACUAUAUGAUCCAAAGAAUCUUCAUAUAACAUUUAAUUUGCGAUGUGAAAAUAAACCCCAUAGUGUCUAUUUAAUUUAAGAACUAUUGUUUCAGUGAUAUUUUCCGUUAUUUUCGUUCAAAAUUCUUGAUAUUGUACAUCAUUCUGAAGCAUUUAAAUUGCAGCUCUGUCUUUAUAAAUAAAUGCAAUUCAGUUCUGCCUGUCAGUAUCAAACAUUUUGCAUUAUUGUUUUUGUUUACUUGAUUAUUGUUAGGUCCUUAAAACUUUCGCAGUAUGACAUAAGAUUAAAUUCGUCAUGUCUUAAUUUUACGAAACGGACGAAAAUUGUACAAAGAUAUUUUACAUUAAAACAUGUAGGUCAUCAAAUUGAAAUUUUUGUUUACUGGUAAUCAUUCCAAAUGAAUAAAUGUGUUUAAUUUAGGAGGAUAUUUUUACUUUUCAUAUUGAAUUGGUUAGUGUUUUUGUGGUAGUUUGUUUGCAUAUGGCUUGAACUUGAACCAUUUCCAACAAUAAUUCAUUUAUGUAACGGCUGCCAUAUGCCAUAAUCAGUUUUAUUCGCGAAUUACGGUUUUGCAGCAAGUACCAGCCUCUGUCAUCUACAAAUUGUCAAGAGAUAUGAAAGUUAUCAUGUAUUUGUACGUUUUCUUAAAUCUGUCAUUUAUAAGUCUCUGCAGUCCAUACAUAGCAUACCAACCAAAAUAUGCAUUAAGACAGCAUGAUAAGGUUUAUUCCUUUUACAGAUUUUUUAAUAUACUUAUUUGAUAUCAUAGUCAUAUUUGUAAUACUAUAUCAUUACAAUAAUGGGUACAAAUUAAAAAAAAAACCCAACUUGUUUCAUAUUCACUUUUGUGAACUUUUUUCAAUGAAAAACACUCAUAGUAAAGAAUAUUCUUUUAAAUUUUGCAAAAACUGUUCCUAAGAUUUUCCCCAUGUUUUCCUUGUGUAUAGAUAAUUGUAUUGUAAACAUAAAAAUGGCCAAAAAUGUAUGGGUCACCAGGCUAAAUUGUAUCUUAAGACCGCUUGAAUACAACACCUAUUCGGACGAAAAAUGGCGCGAACCUGACCAAAUUGAUUAUAUCUGCUAGAAGUUAAAUAAUAGUUAAAACAAUUCUUAAUCCUUUCUAUAAUUGAAUACUAAAUGAUCUGAAAGGAGAUACUGUCUAAUCAAUACAAAGUUAAUUGUCUAACAUUAUAUGAACAAUACUGUCUUUGUACUAAAAUGCGCUGUCAAAACACAGCCACAAAUGGCAAGUUGUAUGAUGCAUGUCAGGCAUGAUAUAUGUUAAUACAACGUAAACCAGUAUCAACAUUUGAUUACUAAUAAAACUUAUUAAAAAUGUUAUUUUAUUCAAGAUAUCUCAUAUUUAAGAUUGUCUGUCACAUGUUUCAACAAAUGUUGACUUCACUUCAAUCUUCCACAGAUAGUGUCGGCUGCGCAGAAAGAUGCGCAUAAAAACUAUAGGAAUUCCCUUUAAGAAAUAAUUUACAACAGCAAAUCCGUGUUUUAGCACUAUAUAUACACGAUGGGCAGUUACGUCGGACGUAAUAAUUUCACGAGGACGAAGCAAUUAUUUCGUACGACGUAUAAUCGCCCGAGUGUAUAAAUAGUGUUCAAACACGGAUUUGCUAUUAUAUUUCGAUUCUAAUAUGUCUUUUUUGUAAAAUUUAUAUCACAUAUGAUAGAACUGGUUGUGUGCGCAUGUAUGGCGCCAAACAGUAGGUUAUCACGCUUCAUUGUUUAUUCACGCCAGGACCGGAAAUGGUAAUACGUCUUGCGGAAUAGUUCCAUAAGGGCGCAAAAUUCAGCACAACUAAUAAGCAACUCCGCGCGCGCGCUCGUGUGUGUAUGCCAUUGGACAUUCCGUUUAAAACAUGUCUUAAAGGUUAAAGGUCAGUAAUUCAAAUCCUUCUUUGUUUCAUAUAAAAAACGGCAACUUCAGGUCGUCUUUACGUAUCUUUAGAGAACAUCACUUUUUCCUACACCUAUUUUUCAUGGAAGUUCUAUCACAAAUUAACGAAAAAAUGAAAAGAAAAUAGGGGGUUAUGUAGUUCCUAGUGAAAUGCCAGUCAGUUGUGGUCUGCUACCCUAUAAAUGGCACAUAUUUGCUCUCGUCCGCGCAAUAAACACCUACUUCCGGUUUCGAUCUGCAAAACUUGCCAUGUUGGGUGUAUGAACAUGAAAACCAUCUCAUUUCAUGCAGAAUGUAUUCUUGUAGUGAAAAAUGGUGAUUAAAGCACUCGUUCUACACGAAUUUGCGCAAAAAAAUGGGAAAGUUAGGAUCUAUUUAUUAUGGACUUCUUUCGACUACACCACGGAAGCACAUUUUCGACCGAAUUACUGACCUUAUUCCUAAAGUAAAUUAUAUUUGAUCAAAUUUGAAAGCACUAUUUCUCGAUGCGUACAUGGCCAUAAAUAUCACGUUGACAUGACGUCGACAUAAUAUCGUUUUGAUGAUUUAAGCGUUGUUAGUCAUAUUAGAAUUUGAUAUUUUUCCCUGUGAAAUUAUCAGAUAUACAUAUGUAUUUCAUUUUAAUAAUUUAAUAAAUCAAUGAAAAUCAUGUAAUACUUACGUAUACCUUUUUACAAAAACAAAAACAAAACAAAAACAAUACCAAAAAAACAAAAAAAACAACAACCAACAACAACAAAAAACAAACAAACAAACAAACAA